rnacentral:lncRNA from 1 species
UCUUCUCCUGUAUUGCAUCAGUUUGGUGUGAGAACAUCCUAUUCUUCUUGUCUUCCAAAUUUAUCCUACAUCAGAAUGUUGGAAGUCUUCUAAAUGAUUUUUAGGGAUUGUAAAUUACUAUAUAUUAUUAUUCUGAUCCUAAAACAGCAUCCUAAACUCCUGUCCAUUGCAACGAAAGCUAGCUACGUUACACCCUGGAAUCUGC